UAACUUAAAAGCAUAACCAUAGAAAAUGAAUAUUUAUCAAAAAUACUCUUUAUCAUGACAACUUUUCAGGACAAACAGACAAAAGUGUUGAAAUGUAAAAGGUUAACCGGCAAGGUUUGUUUUAUUUUAUUUUUUGCAGAUUUUUUGCCUUAUAUUUUAGUAUAGUUAUCCAAUAGUCAGCUAUGUAAAAUAUAUUUUAAACAAAACUCUUGAUAAUGCCCGUUCUUAUGUUUAGUCGACGUACCGUCCGAUACUGAUCUUAAAGGAAUGCGCUCGAGCAGCCUACUGUUGCUAUGGUUACAUCCUCUGGCGAACGCAAUUUCUGUGAGAGUCUAUUUAACGCACUGACGAACUUGUAACCUAACUUUUGGGGUUAGUAAAAGGUUACUUUGCAAACGCAGUCGAAACACUGAAAAAAUACAACUUUUAAGACCUUCCUCUAAACUUCAUUAAAUUUCGUUGUUGUCUACUAGCAGCGCGCUCUUUCAGCUCGUGAAUGAACCGUUUUCACCCUGCCGCCACGGCACGCCGUCUCAGGUCAAACCGCUGUUUCGCUUCAAGACGGAGAUAAAAACGAUGGUGUGAAGAGGUCACGCUCGAGAUGAAUUCACCUCAUCUUCCCCACUGAAAGCGCCGUUUGAUUGUGUUAGUCAGACCGAUUAAUAUCAUCCCUGUCCUUCAUAGCAGAUGCCAGUGAUUCUCAUGCAAAUGCAGUCCGAUUUUCUACUUACAGAUACAUUUAUUUUCUUUAGAGACGAUGUCAGAGUGUGUGAGGGGAAAUUAAGAUUUGUGAGUGCAUCUGCUUUCCCAGUCCAGAUGAACGGAGCCGAGUUUGAGUCCCAGAAAACUGAAUAUAUGACGGGUUUCGUCCACUGAAGUCAGAGUCUAUUAAAACGGACAGCGAGGAAGAUUCAGUAGACGAGAAUUGAAGAUAAGAUCGCAAAGAGAGCGCGCAAAGUGAGGAGCAUGAAGCAUUAACUUUAAAUUAGCGUAAAUUAAAUCUACGAAAUAAGGUUAAUGGGUUAUGAACGCGCGUAUACAAGAGGAAGAUUCAAGACCAGCAUUGUUAUUUGCAUGUUUUCUUGCUUACACAAGAGUAAUUUACAAACAUUUUAAAUUCAUUUCCUAUUCUGGUCUCUUGUGUGGGGAAAAUAAGGAACGCAAAAUCAAAAUUUUGUCAAAAUAAAAUAGAUGCCCAAUCAUUAGGCUAUCACUUACAGCUUGCCUAUUAAAUAAAAAAAAGUUGAAACUGACACUGAGGAUCAGCUUAUCCUGUUUCUAAAGUGAAUACGAUAUUUGGAUGGUCAGCAUCAUCAACAGCAAAUAUUUCUACAUUAAACAAAACCACCUAUUUAAAUCCCUUUAUCCUAAUUAAACUGCUCAUAAAGCGCAACUUCUUCGCGAUUCAUUAGCAAUUUCAUCCCGAUAACAUGAAUGGGCUGAUUUCUCAACGCUUUGCUCUAGCACACCGCACGGAACACAUUAGUAUUCGUGGCCACAUCUCGCGCGUAAAAGCAUCUCAGGGCUGAAAUGAAUUCAUGAAGCACGUUUGUCCACUCACCUACAAUCCAGAAGAGAGCUGAGGAUGGUAUCUAAUGUUCAGUUUAAAGAUGCCUCUGCGUUCAGCUCAGUUUUGACAGAUAGAUCCACAUCCGACUGAACGCCGAAGCCUCAAAAGGUAGCACCUUCAAAAAAAAAAAAAAAAA